GGAGCGUGAGCUAGUCUGGUGAUUCAGCGCUCGUCUGAAGAACGAGAGAACGAGGUUCGAUCCCUCGACGCUCCA
rnacentral:tRNA from 1 species